UAGAGUUUGAUCCUGGCUCAGGACGAACGCUGCGCGGCGUGCCUAAUACAUGCAAGUAGAACGCCUGAAGAGAGGAGCUUGCUCUUCUUGGAUGAGUUGCGAACGGGUGAGUAACGCGUAGGUAACCUGCCUUGUAGCGGGGGAUAACUAUUGGAAACGAUAGCUAAUACCGCAUAACAAUGGAUGACACAUGUCAUUUAUUUGAAAGGGGCAAUUGCUCCACUACAAGAUGGACCUGCGUUGUAUUAGCUAGUAGGUGAGGUAAUGGCUCACCUAGGCGACGAUACAUAGCCGACCUGAGAGGGUGAUCGGCCACACUGGGACUGAGACACGGCCCAGACUCCUACGGGAGGCAGCAGUAGGGAAUCUUCGGCAAUGGGGGCAACCCUGACCGAGCAACGCCGCGUGAGUGAAGAAGGUUUUCGGAUCGUAAAGCUCUGUUGUAAGUCAAGAACGGGUGUGAGAGUGGAAAGUUCACACUGUGACGGUAGCUUACCAGAAAGGGACGGCUAACUACGUGCCAGCAGCCGCGGUAAUACGUAGGUCCCGAGCGUUGUCCGGAUUUAUUGGGCGUAAAGCGAGCGCAGGCGGUUUGAUAAGUCUGAAGUUAAAGGCUGUGGCUCAACCAUAGUUCGCUUUGGAAACUGUCAAACUUGAGUGCAGAAGGGGAGAGUGGAAUUCCAUGUGUAGCGGUGAAAUGCGUAGAUAUAUGGAGGAACACCCGGUGGCGAAAGCGGCUCUCUGGUCUGUAANCUGACCGCUGAGGCUCGAAAGCGUGGGGAGCGAACAGGAUUAGAUACCCUGGUAGUCCACGCCGUAAACGAUGAGUGCUAGGUGUUGGAUCCUUUCCGGGAUUCAGUGCCNAAGCUAACGCAUUAAGCACUCCGCCUGGGGAGUACGACCCCAGGNUGAAACUCAAGGAAUUGACGG
rnacentral:rRNA from 1 species